GUGGGGAAUAUUGGACAAUGGGCGCAAGCCUGAUCCAGCCAUACCGCGUGGGUGAAGAAGGCCUUCGGGUUGUAAAGCCCUUUUGUUGGGAAAGAAAUCCUGUCGGUUAAUACCUGGCGGGGAUGACGGUACCCAAAGAAUAAGCACCGGCUAACUUCGUGCCAGCAGCCGCGGUAAUACGAAGGGUGCAAGCGUUACUCGGAAUUACUGGGCGUAAAGCGUGCGUAGGUGGUGGUUUAAGUCCGUUGUGAAAGCCCUGGGCUCAACCUGGGAAGUGCAGUGGAUACUGGAUCACUAGAGUGUGGUAGAGGGAUGCGGAAUUUCUGGUGUAGCAGUGAAAUGCGUAGAGAUCAGAAGGAACAUCCGUGGCGAAGGCGGCAUCCUGGGCCAACACUGACACUGAGGCACGAAAGCGUGGGGAGCAAACAGGAUUAGAAACCCUAGUAGUCC
rnacentral:rRNA from 1 species